AUAUAUAUAUAAUCUGGUUUUGGGACGUAAAACCCAGAAAUCAAUCAAUGAAUGUAUAUAUAUUUGUGGCGCUACAUGGCCGUUCUUACUUGGUGGAGCAAUUUGUCUGGUUAACUCCGAUAACGAACGAGACUCUAUAGGCUAUUAAAUAGGUGCGGUGUUCCAACCCCCUUACAGGGACAAGCGGCUCCUAGCCGCGCGGAACAGAGCAAUAAGAGGUCUGUGAUGCCGGGGCCGCACGAGGCCGCACGAGCGUUACAGUCAUUGAAGCAGCGUGUUUUUAUCCCUGUCAAAAGAGACUGGGUAACCCGUGGAAUUUCUUUCGUGAUUGGGACAGGGCCUUGCAAUUGUUCCCCUUGAACGAGGAAUUCCCAGUAAGCGCGAGUCACAAGCUAACGUUGAUUAC
rnacentral:rRNA from 1 species